UACGUAGGGAGCAAGCGUUGUCCGGAAUCAUUGGGCGUAAAGCGCGCGUAGGUGGCUUCGUAAGUCCGUUGUGAAAGUCAAAGGCUCAACCUUUGAAAGCCGAUGGAUACUGCGGAGCUAGAGUACGGAAGAGGCGAGUGGAAUUCCUGGUGUAGCGGUGGAAUGCGCAGAUAUCAGGAGGAACACCAAUAGCGAAGGCAGCUCGCUGGGACGUUACUGACACUGAGGCGACGAAAGCGUGGGGAGCGAACAGG
rnacentral:rRNA from 1 species